UGAAUAUUGUGGGCAUCAAGUUAUUUAUUUCCUCGUUUCCGUUUGUAUGUGAGCAAGUGCUGAUCUAAAAAAUGGUUGAUGAGUAAACCAAGAUAAUUUUGGAAGAUUGGGGUGUUUGCAGUUAAUUGGACUUGUUGCAGGGCAAUCUCUGCACAGAGGAAGAAAGUUUAGUUUUUUUUGUGGAUGCAGAGAUUUUCCUUAAAAAAUCAAAUAUCAUCACUGCUUUUUUCUGUAAUUUUUUCCUGCUGCACCAUAUUCAAUGCCUCAGUAACUGGCAGUCACACAGAAAUUCAUCCAGAAGCGCAUGUUGAAAAUGAACCUACAUUAUGUCAU